AUGUCGCGUGCUUAAAACACCCAUGAUCUGGGCCAGAUAUAAAAAAAAGAUUGUCAAGAACAAUGCACGCAGUUUUCUUUACAGACUCCUCGUGAAUUGAUAUUAUAUAUUCGCACGUGUAUAUACACGCAAUUAAUUGCACCUACGUUUGUGGAAUGGCGUUACUUUCUCACAGGUUGUUGUGGCUCAUGAAUAUUAAGCAUACACAUAUAUAUAUACACAUCCAAUCUCUCUUAGUUUUAAUUGCACACGAGGGAUACGCGCCGCUCCCUCGAAAAAGCUGGAUACGACGUACGAGGCGCCGUCCUCGAGCUCGUCCAGGGUGAGCUUCCUGUCGCCGUCCAUGGAGAAGAUGUGACGCGCCCCUCUGGGGAGAUCCAUCCGCAAGGACAGUCUGUCCAACAGCGCCUCCAACGAGCCGAUGUCUCUCCCCGGUUUGAAUCUGUGAUCUCAUUCAUGGGCGAAAAUCAAGAAAGGAGGGUGAGAAAGGAAGGAAGGAGGAGGAUUUACCUGAACUCGAUGCCAGGAAAGUUACUCUCGAGCCAUCAAGAGGUUGCCGGCUCCUCCUUAGUCAUCCAGCAACGCACAUCCAGCAGUCAAGAAAGGAUAUAUAUAUAUAUAUAUAUAUGCAGGCGAGAAAGUCCACGUGUCGCGUGAUUUGCUGGGGAUUCCCGAUCGAUCUCUCCUCCUUUGCGAUGCACUUUUUAUUUUAUAGCUACAGUUCACUGCGGAUCAAUCGAUCGCCCCCUUCCUCCCCGUUCCUCUCAUCAAAGGGAGAGCCUUCAAAUUUCAAGUGCACGCGCGAGAGAAACGGAAAUCGAGCAAUCCCACAAACACAAACACUCCCUCCUUCCCCCCCCCCUUGGAAUUUCAAAAGAAUCCUCUUUCGUCACUUUGGAUGCACACUUGAUCUUGUUCAAUCUGUCCCUCGAUGAACCACUCGAUGAAAGAAAUUCCACAGAGGAGGGGGGGCGAGGGGUUCCCCUCCCCCUACGAUCUCCUCCAUCGGAAAAAUCGUCAAAAGUUCAACACUUGGACCGUUUCCUUCAGUCCAUCCUCGUCGACGAGGAUCGUGAAAGGGAAGAAGAGAGAGAAGAAAGGAGAAGAGGGAGGGAGGCGAGAGAGGAAAGGUGCCACUAAAGGGAGGAGAGUGGCUACGAGAGGAGAGGAUUGACUGUCCGUCGAAGGAUCGUCUCUCAUUCGAGAUGAGAGGAGCGGAGGAUGGAUGCCGCGCGAUAGGUAUACAUAUUCAUGCGUCCUUCGACUAUGGCGUCCCGACGUCGAGUGUGUAUCGGUUCCGUGGGACAGCCACGGCUACCCCGGCGCCGCAGUCGUCGUCCACGUCGUCGUCGCCGUUGCCUCCUGCCGGCAUCGACGCCCCGUGUCAAUGAACCGGCCGACGCCGGCGAAACCAACGCCGAACUUGUUGCACCGAGGCUCUUGUCUCCCGUCCCAAUCUCUUCAACUUCAUCCCAGCUGGAUGAAGAGCGAAGCGAAAAUUAAAUGAAAUUCCACAAAGUCUGUGGAAAAAUCGAUAAUUCGUAUAUUUGUGUAUCAAAGAAAUAGAGGAUAAGGAAGGGAUUUAUGUUUCCAAUUUUAUAAAAAAUUAAUAUCGCCACAGAGUUUGAAAAAUCAUGGAAGGAAAGGAUAUGUAUAAUAUUUCUAACAAGAGACUGUUUCGUGUUACGUUAAAAACGUCAGUUUGAUUAUUUAGAUUAUAUCAUUUAAUAAGUGUUGAAGAAUCUCAACUGGAAAUGUAUGCUCGACCAAAUUCCCUGAUGCGAAAACAGAAUUUAAAAUAUGAAUGUAAAAUAUAUUUUUUUUCCUUUUUGAAUAUCAAAAAAUAAGGAAAUAGGACAUAUAAGUUCGACACAUAGGUUGCUUAGAAUUUUAAGUUUUAGAAGAAAUUAAAAUUCAACGUGCUCUAUUUUUCUUCCAUGCUCGAUAUCUUUCUUCAAUCAAUCCCUCGACAGUUUGCAUUUCGUGGAGCAAGAAACAGCCGGACUGACUUAUCGGACGGUGACUAGGAUGAUUAGCUGCAUGAAGCUUAAGAAUUGCAAAAUGCACGAGAUGUGAAUACAAGAUACGAUAACA
rnacentral:lncRNA from 1 species